rnacentral:rRNA from 1 species
AUACGGAGGAUCCGAGCGUUAUCCGGAUUUACUGGGUGUAAAGGGAGCGUAGACGGUUUGGCAAGUCUGAUGUGAAAGCCCGGGGCUCAACCGCGGGACUGCAUUGGAAACUGUCAGACUUGAGUGCAGGAGAGGAGAGUGGAAUUCCUAGUGUAGCGGUGAAAUGCGUAGAUAUUAGGAGGAAUACCAGUGGCGAAGGCGACUUACUGGACAAAAACUGACGUUGAGGCUCGAAAGCGGGGGGAGCAAACAGGAUUAGAUCCCCUGGUAGUCCACGCCGUAAACGAUGAAUGCUAGGUGUUGGGGGGCAAAGCCCUUCGGUGCCGCCGCAAACGCAGUAAGCAUUCCACCUGGGGAGUACGUUCGCAAGAAUGAAACUCAAAUGAAUUGGCGGGG